rnacentral:lncRNA from 1 species
GUUCCAAUGUUGGUUUUUCAUGCAAUACACUUUCAGUUUUCAGUCUUUUUAAUAUAUCUAUAGAUUCUGCAGUUAAAGUUUGAGCCAGAAGAUUCAGUGGUUUUAUGAUUCAUGCUUCAUCCCAUUUUAUUUUUAAGUUCUUAUUAUAGACUUUUAUGGCUAAGGUCAUCAUCAGUCUUGCUUGGGCUAUAUCUCUAUGCUCUCCACCCUUUGGGCCAAUGUUGUUCUUGUCACUGCCAUGUGUGUUUACUGAUGGGUUCAUGCAUCUUCAACCAGGAUUUUAUAUAUACUACUCUUUUCCUAUUGUUUCAAGGGGUCUUUAUCAUUCAUUAGGAUAUUAAAAAAUGUUGGUGCCCUGCACACAACCAAC